rnacentral:rRNA from 1 species
GACGAACGCUGGCGGCGUGCUUAACACAUGCAAGUCGAACGGAAAGGCCCGGCUUUUGUGGGGUGCUCGAGUGGCGAAGGGGGGAGUAACACGUGAGUAACCUGUCCCUGACUGUGGGAUAACUUCAGGAAACUGGGGCUAAUACCGGGUAGGAGCUCCUGCUGCAUGGGGGGGGUUGGAAAGAUUCGGCGGUUGGGGAUGGACUGGCGGCUUAUCAGCUGGUUGGUGGGGUAGUGGCGUACCAAGGCUUUGACGGGUAGGCGGCCUGAGAGGGUGACCGGCCACAUUGGGCCUGAGAUACGGCCCAGACUCCUACGGGACGCAACAGUGGAGAAUAUUGCACAAUGGGCGGGAGCCAGAUGCAGCGACGCCGCGUGCGGGAUAACGGCCUUCGGGUUGUAAACCGCUUUCGCCUGUGACGAGGCGUGAGUGACGGUAAUGGGUAAAGAAGCACCGGCUAACUACGUG